UUCGGGAUGGAGAGUGGCGCACGGGUGAGUAACGCGUGGGGACCUACCUCUUAGUGGGGGAUAACGGUUGGAAACGACCGCUAAUACCGCAUACGCCCUUCGGGGGAAAGAUUUAUCGCUAAGAGAUGGACCCGCGUUGGAUUAGAUAGUUGGUGAGGUAACGGCUCACCAAGUCAGCGAUCCAUAGCUGGUUUGAGAGGAUGAUCAGCCACACUGGGACUGAGACACGGCCCAGACUCCUACGGGAGGCAGCAGUGGGGAAUAUUGGACAAUGGGGGCAACCCUGAUCCAGCCAUGCCGCGUGAGUGAAGAAGGCCUUCGGGUUGUAAAGCUCUUUCAGAUGCGAAGAUGAUGACGGUAACAUCAGAAGAAGCCCCGGCUAAUUUCGUGCCAGCAGCCGCGGUAAUACGAAAGGGGCUAGCGUUGUUCGGAUUUACUGGGCGUAAAGGGCACGCAGGCGGUCUUGCCAG
rnacentral:rRNA from 1 species